rnacentral:rRNA from 1 species
GACGAACGCUGGCGGCGUGCUUAACACAUGCAAGUCGAGCGGUAAGGCCCUUUCGGGGGUACGACGAGCGGCGAACGGGUGAGUAACACGUGGGUGACCUGCCCUCAGCUCUGGGAUAAGCCUGGGAAACCGGGUCUAAUACUGGAUAUGACUCCAUGACGCAUGUUGUGGGGUGGAAAGCCUUGUGCGGCUGAGGAUGGGCCCGCGGCCUAUCAGCUUGUUGGUGGGGUGANGGCCUACCAAGGCGACGACGGGUAGCCGGCCUGAGAGGGCGACCGGCCGACACUGGGACGUGAGACACGGCCCACGACUCCUACGGGAGGGCGAGCAGUGGGGAAGUCUUGCGCAAUGGGCGAAAGCCUGACGCAGCGACGCCGCGUGAGGGA